rnacentral:rRNA from 1 species
UUACGGCCAUAUCACAUUGAAACAUUGGUUCUUGUACAAUCACCGAAGUUAAGCAACGUCGAGCCUGAUCAGUACCUAAAGGAGUAACUGUUUGGGAAUACCAGGUGCUGUAAG